AAUACAACUCUCAGCAACGGAUAUCUUGGCUCUUGCAACGAUGAAGAACGCAGCGAAAUGCGAUACGUAGUGUGAAUUGCAGAAUUCCGUGAAUCAUCGAGUUUUUGAACGCAAGUUGCGCCCGAGGCUCGUCCGAGGGCAUUCCUGCCAGAGCGUCAUC
rnacentral:rRNA from 15 species